GACGAACGCUGGCGGCGUGCUUAACACAUGCAAGUCGAACGGAAAGGCCCUGCUUUUGGGGGGUGCGCGGGGGGCGAACGGGUGAGUAACACGUGAGUUACCUGCACCUGAGGGUGGGAUAACUUCAGGAAAGUGGGGCUCAUACCGGAUAGGAGUUCCUGCUGUUUGGGGGGGGCUGGAAAGUUUCGGUGGUUGGGGAUGGACUCGCGGCCCAUCGGCUUGUUGGGGGGGUAGUGGCUUAGCAAGGCCUUGAAGGGUAGCCGGCCUGGGAGGGGGACCGGCCCCAUUGGGACUGAGAUACGACCCAGACUCCAACGGGAGGCAGCGGUGGGGAAUAUUGCACAAUGGGCGGAGGCCUGAUGCGGCAACGCCGCGUGCGGGAUGACGGCCUUCGGGUUGUAAACCGCUUUCGCCUGUGCCGAGGCGUUAGUGACGGUAAUGGGUGAAGAAGCACCGGCUAACUACGUG
rnacentral:rRNA from 1 species